rnacentral:rRNA from 1 species
ACGUACACUCCUACGGGAGGCAGCAGUGGGGAAUAUUGGACAAUGGGCGCAAGCCUGAUCCAGCCAUGCCGCGUGAGUGAUGAAGGCCCUAGGGUUGUAAAGCUCUUUCACCGGUGAAGAUAAUGACGGUAACCGGAGAAGAAGCCCCGGCUAACUUCGUGCCAGCAGCCGCGGUAAUACGAAGGGGGCUAGCGUUGUUCGGAUUUACUGGGCGUAAAGCGCACGUAGGCGGACUAUUAAGUCAGGGGUGAAAUCCCGGGGCUCAACCCCGGAACUGCCUUUGAUACUGGUAGUCUUGAGUUCGAGAGAGGUGAGUGGAAUUCCGAGUGUAGAGGUGAAAUUCGUAGAUAUUCGGAGGAACACCAGUGGCGAAGGCGGCUCACUGGCUCGAUACUGACGCUGAGGUGCGAAAGCGUGGGGAGCAAACAGGAUUAGAACCCCAGUAGUCCCAUGA